GACUUUUGUCAUAACGUUUGAACCUCUGACCAAAAGGUCCUCUAAGGUAAGCAACGUUGAGUGUGGUUGGUAUCUGGAUGGGUGACCAUAUGGGCAGUUACGUGCUAAUGGCU
rnacentral:rRNA from 1 species